GGAGAGGUCGCAUAGAGGCCUAGUGCGGCACGGUGCUAACGUGCUGACCCCUUUAAAAGGGUCCGUGGGUUCGAAUCCCACCCUCUCCGCAA
rnacentral:tRNA from 1 species